GAUGAACGCUGGCGGCGUGCCUAACACAUGCAAGUCGAGCGAUUCUCUUCGGAGAAGAGCGGCGGACGGGUGAGUAACGCGUGGGCAACCUGCCUCAUACACAUGGAUAACAUACCGAAAGGUAUGCUAAUACAAGAUGAUAUAAGAGAUUCGCAUGGAUUUCUUAUCAAAGCUCCGGCGGUAUGAGAUGGACCCGCGUCUGAUUAGCUAGUUGGUAAGGUAACGGCUUACCAAGGCGACGAUCAGUAGCCGACCUGGGAGGGUGAUCGGCCACAUUGGAACUGAGACACGGUCCAAACUCCUACGGGAGGCAGCAGUGGGGAAUAUUGCACAAUGGGCGAAAGCCUGAUGCAGCAACGCCGCGUGAGCGAUGAAGGCCUUCGGGUCGUAAAGCUCUGUCCUCAAGGAAGAUAAUGACGGUACUAGAGGAGGAAGCCCCGGCUAACUACGUGCCAGCCGCCGCGGUAACAC
rnacentral:rRNA from 1 species